UACGGGGGGGGGCAAGCGUUGUUCGGAAUUACUGGGCGUAAAGGGCUCGUAGGCGGCCAACUAAGUCAGACGUGAAAUCCCUCGGCUUAACCGGGGAACUGCAUCUGAUACUGGAUGGCUUGAGUUCGGGAGAGGGAUGCGGAAUUCCAGGUGUAGCGGUGAAAUGCGUAGAUAUCUGGAGGAACACCGGUGGCGAAGGCGGCAUCCUGGACCGACACUGACGCUGAACGGCGAAAGCUAGGGGAGCAAACGGG
rnacentral:rRNA from 1 species